GUUUUAGUCACCACAAAGUCACGAGGCGAGGACGCGCGGAUCGUGGGCGCUCAUUCGCACGCAUUCACGCAGGUACGACAAGUGGUCCGGCAAAUAGCCGGUCCAAUCUUGUUCGGACCGAGGCCAGGGGCAACCGCGAUCGACGGCCCACGCGAUGGCUUGCGGCGCGGCACCGGCCGCGUAUCAUGUUUAUGGUGGUGCGGCCGUCACAACGCGCGCCCUCCACGUGAGCCACUCGAAAAUGGGACGCCGCCCGUAGCGCGAGCGGGCAGCCUCGACAAACAUGUCUCGCACCACAUGGGCCGGUGGCAAACCCCACAGCGCGUAAAGGUGCUUGACCAUCGCAAUGUCGCAUUCAUGGGCCGCCUUUCGCCAGGUCUCGUCGCCGCCUCCGGACAAGCGUGCAAUAACGUAGGGGUCACGGAGGCGCAUGGCCUGAGCAAAUGCGCCUUGCGUGAUGCAACAGUGCGCCCCCCGCAUGGACUUGGCCAAUUCGACGACGACGCCGGCGCCUCCGUGUUCGCACGCCAUGUCGAGCGCGUGGCGGCGCGGGCCGAAUCGAAACGGCGCGGCCGAGCGGUGCCACUCGACGACGCCGUGCCAGAUCGGUUCGUCAAACUCUGGGUGCAAGGGAAUGCCGCAGCCGUGCUCGCAAAAAGAGGAUGCCACCUGGUGGCCACGCACAGCGGCGAUCGACGUCGAGAGGCCGCUGAUUCGGAUGCCCUUGGCAAAGGCCCACACGAGCACGUGCGUGUGGCCGGAAUAAGCCGCGGCGAGCGUGAGCGACGACGGCAUGCGGACAUUCCUGCCAUCGAGCCACUCGAGUAUGGCAAGAUGGCCGCUGUGUGCCGCCUCGACCGCCACCCGCCGCCAUUGAAAAGACGACAGCACCGAAUCUUCAGACAGGCUCUGCAGAAUGUCGAGUCGUCCGUGGCGCGCCGCGCCGACGGCCAGAUAGAUCCUGUCGCCGGUCGUAUCGGGCAGCCAGUCGAGGACGUGGUCGUGAACGUGCAGCGCCGCCCCUCUGUAGGCACUCUGGACGUGCAACUUGCCCUUCUCUUGUAGCCAUGUGAGGGAUUCGAUGCAUCCUCUGGCUGCCGCGCACUCGCUCGCGCAACUGGGCGCGCUGUGAUCACGAGUGCUGUUGAUGCACUCUAGAAAUGCGACGCUGAUGGUAUCUGUCGUGCAGGCGUCGUGGGUUGGGGCGCCAGGGUCGGCGAGCAGCAUGCGCAGCACGUCGUAGCGACGAUUAAGCGCCGCCUGGUAGAGAGCAUGUCCUCUCGAAUUGUAUCUGGCGCGGACGAGCCUCUGCCAUUCGCCAACGCGACAAUCGGCGCGACGUACCUCGUCGUGCUGCUGCGCGAGCAAUUGCUUCACGAGGUCGAGGUGGCCCCCGCCGGCCGCGGCUACCAGGCAGUCACUCGUAGAACAUGGGCAGCCGGCUGCUUGCAGCCACGCCAUGACAUGACCGUGGCCGCCGCGCGCGGCCUCGAUGCACGCGCUGUCGUCCCAUGGGCACCCGUUGGAGACCGCCCACUGCACGAGCCCGAGGCGGCCCUCGAACGAUGCCUGCGCCAGGAACGUGCGCCUUUGCCCUGGCGGGGAGCGCGACCUGCGGAGGUCACGGUCGCGCGCAAGACUGGUCGAGGCCAGGGCUCUCCACAGAGGCGAGACCAACGUGCACACAAACUUGUCGGCUGCGCUCAGGCGGUCGAUUAUGGCAGCCACCAUUUCGGUCGGCAUACCGUCCAAGUCCAUUGUUGUCGCCGUCGUCGAGUCGCGGGCGAUCUUUUCCGUCUCUUUUUUCUUUCUAAAGCAAACAACAACGAUGCCUCUUUUUUUUCUUUUCGUUGCUUGUCGGCAAAUUGUGGGCCGUCCAAUUGUCAUAGCGCAACCGAAAACAGCGACCAACGACCCGGACGCGAGUCAUCAAAGCAACAGCAGACUUUUUCCCAUGCUCACGGGCGGUCCAAUUCUUGCGGGUGCAAAAGUCGUUGCUGGUCGGCAGACGACCAACGGGAUUCAGUGCAUCGGUCGACCAAUGCACAUUAGGCAUCACCUGGACCCGCACCGGCCGAGCCUUGUUUUGGCAAAGACGUCUCCCCAUGCGCUGACCACGCGCACUGAGAGACGACAUACUUUGGCAAGUUGUGCCACCGACGACGACGCCCUCGCCGUAUGUUGAUGAACAACACGAUAAUAAACAGAGUAUGUCGGUG
rnacentral:lncRNA from 1 species